rnacentral:rRNA from 1 species
AUUGAACGCUGGCGGCAUGCCUUACACAUGCAAGUCGAACGGUAACAGGGAGCUUGCUCCGCUGACGAGUGGCGAACGGGUGAGUAAUGUAUCGGAACGUACCUUUUAGUGGGGGAUAACGUAGCGAAAGUUACGCUAAUACCGCAUAUUCUCUGAGGAGGAAAGCAGGGGACCUUCGGGCCUUGCGCUAAUAGAGCGGCUGAUAUCAGAUUAGCUAGUUGGUGAGGUAAAGGCUCACCAAGGCGACGAUCUGUAGCGGGUCUGAGAGGAUGAUCCGCCACACUGGAACUGAGACACGGUCCAGACUCCUACGGGAGGCAGCAGUGGGGAAUUUUGGACAAUGGGGGCAACCCUGAUCCAGCCAUGCCGCGUGAGUGAAGAAGGCCUUCGGGUUGUAAAGCUCUUUCGGCCGGGAAAAAAUCGCAUGGGUUAAUACCCUGUGUGGAUUGACGUUACCCGCAGAAGAAGCACCGGCUAACUCCGUGCCAGCAGCCGCAGUAA